ACUUCUCGCGGUAUCUGACCCCUAGGCUCCGCCCUCUGCACGCCGCUCUCGGUAUCUGACGCUCAGGCUCCGCCCCCUGCAUGUCUUUGUUGGCAAACAGUUCUGGGGGUCAUCCUAGCCUACAGAUAGUGCCCAGGCUGGACUUGAACUCCUUGCUGGGCUUAAGUGAUCCUCCUGCCUCAGCCUCCUGAAUAGGAAGUGGAGCCAGAAUCCACAGAUGUCAUUAUCCAUCUGCACACUUUGUUUACUACCCAGAAGGCAAGAAUAUUGCAUUUUAAAAGUGCCUAGACUUUUGUUCUUUCUUAUCACAAAUGACUUGGGAAGCUCCGACCACUCAUGUUUACCCCGAGUGAAAGUCCCAUUCAAAGCCUUGCUUCCUGGAGAGCUUUGAGAUUCUGGUUCAAAAGGCAUUUUAUAAGCACAAAGUGGAAAAGCAUCAUUCAUAUUCAUUUGCUGCUGCGGCAUUUCUCCCUGGAUUCUUCCUCUUGUCUGUCAACAUUGGGCAAAAGGACUGGCCUCAUCUACAUUACAGAUAUCCUUGUGAUGGUCUGGAGGUAGGAAAAGGACACCCAGCACAAGAGUGAGAAGGGAAACUCAAGCUCUCCUGUUGGAGAGUCUCAGGCUUCUUUAUCCAUAAAACUGAUCGGACAUAAUUGGUGUGGGUUUAUGAUUUGUUUUGGAAAAACCUGAGUAUGAAAUCAAUACCGUGCUUUGUGCA
rnacentral:lncRNA from 1 species